UCUCUCGUGGCUAAGUUGGUAAAGAAUCCGCCUGCAAUGCAGGAGACCCUGGUUCAAUUCCUGGCUCUGGAA
rnacentral:tRNA from 1 species